AACGAACGCUGGCGGCAGGCCUAACACAUGCAAGUCGAGCGAGGACUUCGGUUCUAGCGGCGGACGGGUGAGUAACGCGUGGGAAUGUGCCCUUCUCUACGGAAUAGCCCUGGGAAACUGGGAGUAAUACCGUAUACGCCCUUUUGGGGAAAGAUUUAUCGGAGAAGGAUCAGCCCGCGUUGGAUUAGGUAGUUGGUGGGGUAAUGGCCUACCAAGCCGACGAUCCAUAGCUGGUUUGAGAGGAUGAUCAGCCACACUGGGACUGAGACACGGCCCAGACUCCUACAGGAGGCAGCAGUGGGGAAUCUUAGACAAUGGGGGCAACCCUGAUCUAGCCAUGCCGCGUGAGUGAUGAAGGCCUUAGGGUUGUAAAGCUCUUUCAGCUGGGAAGAUAAUGACGGUACCAGCAGAAGAAGCCCCGGCUAACUCCGUG
rnacentral:rRNA from 1 species